UACUAAUGAAAUGUAUCUUGAUUGUGAGGCCUUUCUUGCCAUUCAUCGAACCAUAAGUCCUGAAGUGUUUAAGUCUAUCUCGACUUGUAAGUCAGCUCAUGAAGUUUGGACUAAACUUGAAUAUAUAUAUGGUGGGUCCAAUCUUGAUGAAGACGGUAUUAUGAUGAAGGAGUUGGUGCAUGAACUCUUCACUCUUUUUGAUCUUAAAGAGUCCACCACUACUUCCAUAUCCGAUUGCUUGCACACCUCAGCAUCUUCAAUCUCACAAGGUAAUGACAUGGUGAGUGAAGAAAUAUAUG
rnacentral:lncRNA from 1 species